UUCUCCCCCAAAGAAUUCGAAUUUCAUGGAAAAUAUGGGUUUUGAUGGAGCUUGAAGCCAUGGGAGCUUGAAGCAAGCUUCUCCCUUCAUUCUAGGUGUACCUAGGGACUGUGAACGUUUGGAUUCUCGUGGAGUAUGAUAAGUAGCUUGUUCUUCAAGUAAGCAGAUUGUAAAGCUCAAAGAGGAACACAGUUAAUUGAAGAGCCUCAUGGGACAAGGACACUAACCGUGGCUAGAGGUACUAGUAUGAGGAUGUGGAGUUCUGGGUGGUCGGAUGCUACUAUUUGUUUUAGACGUAUUUUUGGAAAAGAUGUAUUGUUGCAUAGUGUUCAUAUUCGAUACAUGUACAUUUAUGUAUUCAGGCAUGAUGAUAUGACUAUGUAGUAUUCAGUUAUGUUAUGUAUUGGAUUGCAUGCUAUUAGAUUUG